UGUAUCAUUUUUGUAUCUGAAGUUAUAAAUAUUGACUAUGUAUCUGUAUUUCAAAUGUGGUUAAAUCUGGGUGACAGCCACUAAGCAAAAUGCUUCCAGCCUAGACAACUGGUUGUGAAGGGUCUAUUCAGGGUAACGGGCCAUUCAGAAAAACAGUAGGCUUUAGGAGAAGCUUAUCCCCCACCUGGUUAGUCUUCCUGAGAAUGCUCCAGACUGCAAGUAAUGGCUGCUAUGACUCAGCAGGUAAUGUAAGGACAUGUGACCAGACCACAUGACAUUGAUCUCUAUUUUGGGUACCUGUAUUUUUCCACAAAUUGCCUGGGAACUGUUUUUGAAACAAAGGGUUCCCGCCAUAAGGAAAACCUAUAUAAGGCAGGAAGUGACCAUCAUCUGUGGUUCUUCACUCCCCCACAACUCAACACCUUAGAAAAGCUCCAAAAGAAAAGGACUUGAAAUGGGAGUAGGGAGCCCAGGCUGCAAAGCAAGUCCAGCUUGUGCCUUAAGAAUCUGAAAGCCUGCUUGUAUCAUCAGUCAGGGUGUGUGCUCCAUAAGAUGAAGAAAAUUCACAGAAUUAAGUGGGACUGCAUAGAACAUCACCAUCAAGUGGCUGAAGCACUGAUCAAAGGGGAAAGCCUGGCUGAAGGGCAACCAGCCAGCCUGUGGUGAGAAGCAUUUAAGUUCGUAAGGGCAUUGGAAGUGUUAAGAUCAGCUUAGAAUGCGUUUUGCUUUUAUUUUAUUUGAUCAAAUCCGACUUGUUAUGCUUUGACUUAUAAUCACUUAAAAUCUAUCUUUCACAGUUAAUAAAUUUGUUUGUUUAUUCUA